rnacentral:rRNA from 1 species
AUAAUAAAUAGCUGCAGAUUUUUCUGUACUAAGGUAGCAUAAUCAUUAGCUUUUUAAUUAAAAGAUAGAAUGAAGGGUUUAACGAAAUAUAUUCUGUUUCUAAAAUUAAACACGAAAUUAAAAUAAGAGUAAAAAUACUUUUAUAAAUAAGAAGGACGACAAGACCCUGACAAACUUAUACAUUUUGCUGGGGCGGCAAUACAAAAAAACCUUAAUCAAUCACCACAAAAACACUUCAAGUAAAAAUCAAACAAGAGAUAGUUACUACAGGGAUAACAGCGCAAUCUCUUUUAAAAGAACUAAUCCAAAAAAAGAUUUACGACCUCGAUGUUGAAUUAAUUUUAUCUCUUAAGAGCAAAAUCCUUAACAAGAAGGUC